UCCAGUAUAGUGUUGAAUAGAAGUUGUGAUGAUAGCACCUUAUCUUGUUCCUGAUUUCAGAGGGAAACUUCACAACAUUUCACCAUUGUUUAAAGUAUAAUUGAAAAACAGGAAUUAUAUGUUCUUAAGAAACUUCCUAUUGUUUUCCAUUGUGGCUGCACCGAAAUACAUUCCUACCAAUCGUGUACAAUGAUUUCCUUUU